CCUACGGGUGACAGCAGUAGGGAAUAUUGCUCAAUGGGGGAAACCCUGAAGCAGCAACGCCGCGUGGAGGAUGAAGGUUUUAGGAUUGUAAACUCCUGUUGGUAGAGAAGAAGAUGACGGUAGCUAACGAAUAAGCACCGGCUAACUCCGGUCCAGCAGCCGCGGUAAUACGGAGGGUUCAAGCGUUACUCGGAAUGACUGGGCGUAAAGAGUGCGUAGGCGGGGUACUAAGUCAGAUGUGAAAUCCUGUAGCUUAACUACAGAACUGCAUUUGAAACUGUUACUCUGGAGUGUGGGAGCGUUAGGUGGAAUUCUUGGUGUAGCGGUCAACUCCGU
rnacentral:rRNA from 1 species